rnacentral:rRNA from 1 species
AUUGAACGCUGGCGGCAUGCCUUACACAUGCAAGUCGAACGGCAGCGGGGGAGAAGCUUGCUUUUCCUGCCGGCGAGUGGCGAACGGGUGAGUAAUACAUCGGAACGUGCCCUGUAGUGGGGGAUAACUAGUCGAAAGAUUAGCUAAUACCGCAUACGACCUGAGGGUGAAAGUGGGGGACCGCAAGGCCUCAUGCUAUAGGAGCGGCCGAUGUCUGAUUAGCUAGGUGGUGGGGUAAAGGCCUACCAAGGCGACGAUCAGUAGCUGGUCUGAGAGGACGAUCAGCCACACUGGGACUGAGACACGGCCCAGACUCCUACGGGAGGCAGCAGUGGGGAAUUUUGGACAAUGGGCGAAAGCCUGAUCCAGCAAUGCCGCGUGUGUGAAGAAGGCCUUCGGGUUGUAAAGCACUUUUGUCCGGAAAGAAAUGACUCUGGUUAAUACCUGGGGUCGAUGACGGUACCGGAAGAAUAAGGACCGGCUAACUACGUGCCAGCAGCCGCGGUAA